GAUGAACGCUAGCGAUAGGCUUAACACAUGCAAGUCGAGGGGCAGCAUGGUCUUAGCUUGCUAAGACUGAUGGCGACCGGCGCACGGGUGCGUAACGCGUAUGCAACUUGCCUCACAGAGGGGGAUAACCCGUCGAAAGACGGACUAAUACCGCGUACACUCCAUCUUGGGCAUCCAAGGUAGAGGAAAUGAAAUUCGCUGUGAGAUAGGCAUGCGUCCCAUUAGCUAGUUGGUGAGGUAACGGCUCACCAAGGCGACGAUGGGUAGGGGAACUGAGAGGGUGAACCCCCACACUGGUACUGAGACACGGACCAGACUACUACGGGAGGCAGCAGUGAGGAAUAUUGGUCAAUGGGCGAGAGCCUGAACCAGCCAAGUCGCGUGAAGGAUGACUGUCUUAUGGAUUGUAAACUUCUUUUAUACGGGAAUAACAAGAGUCACGUGUGACUCCCUGCAUGUACCGUAUGAAUAAGCAUCGGCUAACUCCGUG
rnacentral:rRNA from 1 species